ACACCCCUUCUUAAACCCUGUUCUGAGGUGUUUCUUUACAGUCAGUGAGACCAGUUUGAUUUGAGUAUGUCUCUUUAAAUUUUAGCAGACAUUUCACCCUUCCUGUUUUUUUCUCGGUUUGACUCCGCCCCCUUAGCCUCUUAGCCGCUAACAAUCGGCAGAAUAUGUUUUUCAAAAACAACAUGACCAUAUUUAGCGGAACCGCAGCAAAUACAGUGACGUAAUAGAUAGAAAAACGUAAUAGAUAGCGGAGAAAACUAAACAGACUGAAAAAUAUGACCCAAAAAGAAUAAUAAGAUUUAUAUGCUGCACCGGAAGUGAAUAAAUUACAUUUUUCGGCACUCCGGACCCCUUGGAAAAGACAAAAACAGGUAUUUAAGGGCUUAAAAAAGUGGAUUUUGCAUGAUACGUUCCCUUUAAUAAGGUUUAAACAGG